rnacentral:rRNA from 1 species
AACUGAAGAGUUUGAUCAUGGCUCAGAUUGAACGCUGGCGGCAGGCUUAACACAUGCAAGUCGAGCGGGGGAAGGUAGCUUGCUACUGGACCUAGCGGCGGACGGGUGAGUAAUGCUUAGGAAUCUGCCUAUUAGUGGGGGACAACAUCUCGAAAGGGAUGCUAAUACCGCAUACGUCCUACGGGAGAAAGCAGGGGAUCUUCGGACCUUGCGCUAAUAG